AUUGAACGCUGGCGGCAUGCCUUACACAUGCAAGUCGAACGGUAACGGGCCUUCGGGUGCCGACGAGUGGCGAACGGGUGAGUAAUGUAUCGGAACGUACCUUUCAGUGGGGGAUAACGUAGCGAAAGUUACGCUAAUACCGCAUAUUCUGUGCGCAGGAAAGCAGGGGAUCGCAAGACCUUGCGCUGAUUGAGCGGCCGAUAUCAGAUUAGCUAGUUGGUGAGGUAAAGGCUCACCAAGGCGACGAUCUGUAGCGGGUCUGAGAGGAUGAUCCGCCACGCUGGAACUGAGACACGGUCCAGACUCCUACGGGAGGCAGCAGUGGGGAAUUUUGGACAAUGGGGGCAACCCUGAUCCAGCCAGGCCGCGUGAGUGAAGAAGGCCUUCGGGUUGUAAAGCUCUUUCGGCCGGGAAGAAAUCGUAUCAGCUAAUACCUGGUGCGGAUGACGGUACCGGCAUAAGAAGCACCGGCUAACUACGUGCCAGCCGCCGCGGUAAGAC
rnacentral:rRNA from 1 species